UACUCCUACGGGGAGGCAGCAGUGGGGAAUAUUGCACAAUGGGGGAAACCCUGAUGCAGCCAUGCCGCGUGUGUGAAGAAGGCCUUCGGGUUGUAAAGCACUUUCAGUAGGGAGGAAGGUAGUGUAGUUAACACCUGCAUUAUUUGAACGUUACCUACAGAAGAAGCACCGGCUAACUCCGUGCCAGCAGCCGCGGUAAUACGGAGGGUGCGAGCGUUAAUCGGAAUUACUGGGCGUAAAGCGCAUGCAGGCGGCCUGUUAAGUCAGAUGUGAAAGCCCGGGGCUUAACCUCGGAAUUGCAUUUCGAAACUGGCAGGCUAGAGUCUUGUAGAGGGGGGUAGGAAUUUCAGGUGUAGCGGUGAAAUAGCGUAGAGAUCUGAAGGAAUACCAGUGGCGAAGGCGGCCCCCUGGACAAAGACUGACGCUCAGAUGCGAAAGCGUGGGGAGCAAACAGGAUUAGAUACCCUGGUAG
rnacentral:rRNA from 1 species